CAGGAAUCCUGGAUCUGGGAAACGCUGAAUGGAAUUUGGAGAAAGGUUUCAGUCUUGGGGCCAGACAGACCUGGUUUUGAAUCUUGCCAGGGUGCUCUCAAGCAAGUUUCUUCACUCUCCCAAGCUUCAGAACCUCAAAGAAGAGUAAGUUUGUGAUGGAUCAGUGAGAUAGCACAUGGUAGGGGCCUUAAAGUUUGGCACAGAGGCUGGACACUACUUGGCAUAUGGUAAUUAUGGGAUGCUCUCCCCUUCCUAACUCUAGAAAAUGAUGCCCCUGAAACUGCUGCCCUGGGGAUUUCUAUGGACACGCAGGUAGCCAAUUAAACUUGAAUCAGAUCACCACAUAGUAAGUCAUGAAAUUAGCUAACUCACAGAGAGGAAGUUUUGGCAUCCUGGUUAUUACUGAUAACCUCAGGUUGAAUCUGAUUAAAUGUGUGAACAUCCAAUCAAAGGCCAGCAACAGUUGAUGGAACCGGUUGAACAGGCCAGUGCAGGCCUUGGGGCUUCUGAUUCACUGAGGGCUGGCUGUAGCCCUGGGUCCUGCAUGUGAUAAUCAUGCUUUGUGCUUAUAGGCCCUCGAUAUCUUUAGGGUUCACUUGAUUGUCACCAUAAUUGAGGGAUGGCCUGCUGGCGCUGUCCCCAGACAACACUUUGCUGGCCUGGCAUUAGUGCUCUUGCUCUUCCAUCUUUUGAACGUACAACUAGAGGGAAUUCGGGGUCCUUUGAAGCCACAGGAUAAACGUGACUGAGAUUCCUGGAAUGACGAUUUUACUUCAAGCCAAGAAGUGUCAACCACUGCAAGAGAGAAGAUGACAUGAGGAGCUUUGUUAUAAUGACAAAGAAACCCUGUGGCUUCUGAGAAGGAGGAAGCCUAGUGGAUGUGGCGACCACUGCAGUGACCAAGCAAGAAUGAGCACCAAGAUGGAGACAAGCGAAAUGGCUGCAGUUUUACAGAGUCUAAUUAUCAGGAGUAGUUAAAGUGGCCAAAACUUGCCUCCUGGUGUUCACCUUGGUCUUCCUUUGACUGAGCAAGUCCUUCUACCGACAGCAGCAACAACAAUAGUAACAACAAGUAAAAAUGAAUAUGCAAAUAUUUAUGGAACAUUUCCAGCCACUGGACAUGUUAUACACAGUCUCAUCAAAAACUCACAGCUGUGUCAAUAUCAUCUUACUUCACUGUGGAGGGAACGAAGGCUCAGAGAGGCAUGAGAGAUAACCAACUGGAGUGGCUUCCUGGUCCCUGGCUGGAUCUAAGGCAAGGGAAGCAGUAUUGCUCUGAUGAUGGCUGGUACCAUGGCCGCCCUGUUUUUCCCAUGUGGAGGAAGUCAGGCUGCAACAUGAAAGACAGAUGCUGAGACAGGGCAGAGGGCCAAAACAGAUGAAGCCAGAAAUGCUAUCAUUUAAAGAAGACUGGAGAGACAUGACAAUGUAAUGCAACAAGUGACCCCUGAUUGGAUCCAGGAAGUAUGGAAGUGUCCCACCCAUGUCUCCCCUCAAGACCUGCUGCUGCCCAGUGGGGAGAAUGUGGCUGGCGGGCAGCCUCCAGCUGUUGGCUCUUCAGGAUCUGCUUUAGGCAGAGAGAAGCCUGCUCCAGUCUGAAAAAGAUUUCUCAGCAAUAUUCAGUUUAAAGGGAAGACUACAUUUAAGUACUCCCAAUGUGAGCAUCCGGACAGCAGGAAACUUAAGGACUUCCUCGGAAAAUCUCACCUGUGGCUUGAGGUCUACCUGGAGGUCUCAGGUGAGCCUGGUGAUGGCGCCACACUAAAAGGUAGAACUCACCAAGGACUGGGCCAUACUACGGAGCCAGAAGAAUGGAGAAUCAGAACUGUCAUUAAGAGGAGCAAAGUUUGAGGAGGAGAGGUAGCAAGAAAGAUGAGUGACAUUGGAUGAAGGAGAGUUGAAGCCAGGCCUGGGAGGGGAUGGGAGUGGGAAACUUCUCCAAGCUGAGUUGUCAAGAGAGUGUCCUCUCCAGCCCCACGCCUCUCAGUCUUGCUGCCUGUGAGCAGGCCUGUCUUGUGUUAAGCCUGCCUGACUUAGGACACUUUCUGUUACUGUGGUUCAAGAUUGUCAAUCAACAAACAUUUUUUUGCUCCUUAUUCAUCACUGGGUGCUAAAAUGAAGCUUUGAAUACUCGGGGUGGUCCUUUCUGACACUCCAUGGAACCCCAAGCAUAGCAUGUAGUUAUUGAUAAGUUUCUUACUUCACAGGGACCUCUCUUAUCUCUUUAGCUGGUCUGGAACAUUCUGGAUGACAAACCUGGAUGGGUCUGCUUCACGUUCAAGUUGAACUGUGAGAAUAAUGGGGACUUUUAGGACUAUUUUGACUGGGAUCCUGGGUGCUGGGUCAAGUCUGAGUCCGAGGCUACUUGUCCAGAGCAGCUGAAGCCCACACAAUCCAAAGCAUGACAGUCACCUGCAUGCUCAAUGAGUUCCACUUUGAACUUAUCACUUGUUCUCCAAAUUAACUUCCAUUCCUGGAGACUUUACUAGUCUAGCCACAUAUUCCCGCAGGGGUCUUCUAAUUCUUUGCUAUCACUCAUCAUAUUUUGUUUUAAUUGCUUGUUUAACAUCAACUUUCUGUAAGAUUCUGUAAGAACCUUCACUAUGUGUUGGAUGUUUUUGCCUCCCAAAGAUUCAUGUGUUGGGAGUUGGGUUCUCUGUUGUCGGGAAGUGGGACCUUUAAGCGGUGGGGCUAGUGGGAGGUCCUUGGUCAACUGGGGGUCUACCCUCAGAAGUGACUGUGACCUCAGUCUCUCUCUGGCUUCCUGUCUUUAGAUGUGAUCUCUUCCUCCCAUAUGUGCUUCUGCCGUCUGCCCUGAGAUCCUCAUCAGGGCCAAGACAAUCUGGUGCCAUGUCCUUGAAUCUCCAAAACUUUGAGUUAAAUAAAACUCUUUUCUGGAUAAAGUUAGCCUACUUCAGGUAUUCUACUAGAGUAAUGAAAAAUAGAUCAAUACAUUAUCUAAGUUUAUGUGGACAGGGAUCAGGUCUGCCUUUGUAUAGUAUUGGGAUAUUCUUUAUGUUUGGCAGUUGGUAAUACUCAAUAAAUAUUUGUGGAAGGAAUAAUGGAAUGAAAAUUCAAGUAACAAUUGAAGAGCAAAGGAAUCAGUCCAAGAGCACCUGCCUCAAGCUCAGGUCCAAGGCCACAAGCCAGAGAGCAAAUGUGGGACAGGGAGCCACAGUCAGGUACAGGCUGGAAGGUGAUGCCAGGCAGCCAUGGUUCGGGUCAUACACUGUGGGUAAGUCAGGGUGCUGGGACCUGAUUGUAUCAAGGACAAACCAUAAGCUGGUAAGCUGGCCAGCCUAGAGGCAGAGUCCAGCUGGACCCUGGCCUCCCCACUGUCCAGCACUCAGUCAGGCAUUCAGAAGUUACAUGAGUACAGUGUGAUGAGCGAUACGGAGCAAUUACUAACCCCGCAUGGAUUUCUCUCAUGUGUGGAAGAGCUCGGCACAGAUCUUGGCACACAGCAGGAUUCGAUGAAUGAUUAUUGAUCCUAAAAUCUAAAAAGCAAAAUUGUAGUAUUCAACCAAAGAGAGAGCUGUGUCUAUUAGGACUUUCUCAUUACAAACAGGAGAAACUUAACCAAAUGCUUAAAUGAAGGCAAAGUGGAAGAAGCAGAGUUUGGGAUAGACAGGAACCAGCUCUGGAAUCCAGGCAUAUGAAACAGUGAGGGUUUCUUCUCCGUGUCCCAGUAGGGGAGGUUUGUCCUUCUGACACCCUGCUCAGAGAUUCCUUGAUUAAUAGUUACACCAAGACUCAUGUAAUAGACAGGGGGAAUCCUCCACAGGACAGGAGUGUAGGUGCUGGGAGGGCAAAGUCUACACAUUCAUCACUCUCAGCCUCUGCAGUGAGUAGACGGGAGUCUUCGUGGCCCUGCCUGGGCUGUCUUGCCUGGUGUCUGUACUCAACUCUUCCUUUGCAUUGAGUUGUCCUUUUAUGCCUUGGACUGGAUACUCGGAACUCUGGCUUCCUCUACCAUUCUCAUCUGAUUUCCCUACUUUGCAUUAGGUAUCGAUAGAUCCAGCUUUUCCACUUUUAGUUCCUGAAAUGGUCCCCCUGCUUGCCUGGGAGGAGAGGGCAGACGAGGAAAUCUCAGCUGUCAGCAAUCAUAGAUGUGAUCUGGCACUCUCAGGCCCAGGGCAAAAGAAACUUGUUCAGGGUCAGUGAGUGAGUUAAGCAUAGAUUCAGGGUCAUGGUCCAAGCUUCUUUUUUUCAUGAAAGCAACUCUAGAAAACACAUUUAAGUGAAAAAUAGAGAGUGCCCACCCAAAUAAAUCCACCAUUUACAUUUGAAACUCACAUCUUUGGAUUUCUAGUUUAGUGGGGAGGCAAUACAGCAAAUUGGUAGAGAAUGGGCUGAGCCUGGCAGAUAGGAGCCACGUGUCCCUGGAAAUGUUGCCUAAACUAAGCUACAGUUAUCAUUUAUAAAAUAAUGGUAUUGUGAAGAAAAGUUAUGGCACUGUCUCUUAUGCAGUACUUAAAAAAUGUUGAUAAGUGCUCAAUGAAUAUUAACUUUUAGUAACAUCGUGGGUCCUCUCACGCUACCUUGCUGCCUGUCCAGCUCUUUUCCUGAUCUAUCUCCUUAGGCAAUUUUUCUCAAUUCCAGGCUUCAGGGGUGCUAUCCACUAAUUUGGGGGAUGCCCUAAAAUAGUCGACACCUAGGAGUCAGUACUGAGCAAUUUGGUAGGAAGCAUGGGGAAGAUAAAAGACAAAGUGUGUCCCAAGCACAGAUUAAGCAUCGUGUUGGACCACAGCAGUUCAAUCAUGUCUAUUCUCCCCUUCUAGUGACAGUACCCUCACUCCUUUUUCCUUUGGGAACAUCUUCACCCACUCUAGAUGAUUUGAAUGGUGCUGUCAAUUACAUUUCCUGAUUACCUGGCCCUGCCUCUUCUAGACCAUCCAGGCUUAGUCAAUCAGAGUAUCCCAACUCAGGAUUCCAUAAUGGUCAAGUGAUCUCAGGAGGGUCCACUGGAUUUCUUUUGGAACUCCUUUUGUCUUUGGAGGCAAGGUGGUGAAAGUAUGUGCACAUAUCUUUACCCACAGGGAUAGAGAAUGAAAUCAACACCACGAGAAACAGACACAGGCAGAGAAGACCCUGAAAGUAUCAAUUCCCACGUUCUAGCCCAGAGUCCUGGUCCUUGAAGAACUAUUUUUCUUUCCCAUUUUAGUACCAGGGAUUGAAUACAGGGGCUCUUAAGCACUGAGCCACAUCCCUAGCCCCUUUUUACAUUUUAUUUAGAUAAGUUCUUACUAAGUUGCUUAGGGCCUUGCUAAAUUGCUGAGACUAAUGUUGAACUUGUGAUCCUCCUGCCUCAGCCUCCCAAGGUGUUGGGAUUACAGGCAUCCCCCUCUGUGCCCAGGCCUGUCAGUAUAAACUUCUGUGUAGUUUACCCAGUGCAGUACUCAGUCAUGGGAACCAAUAAAUGUCCUUUAAAACAACAAUUUUUUUUUUGUUUUGCCUAAACUGAGUUGUAAGGCUGCUAAUUUUUAAAGUCAGAGUCUUUUUUUUUUUCCCCAGAGUCUUGACUAAUACAAAUACUUUGUUUUAAAGGAGGGAAGUGAUUGUGUAAUCCUUUGUGAUAUUGUCCAUUCUGCCUCUGAUGAGAAGGAAUAUUAUCCCCAAGUGGAAAAUACUCCUAGCACGCUGACCAAGAUCAAGGGAACCCUGAUACAGUUGGGCUAGGGCUUGAUGAUUUCUUUGGACUCUCUGGAGUUGCAUUCUGUCAUAAUGAUUGCUGAUAGGAUGUGCAGUGUUCACUCCAUCAAGCAGAAUCUGAAUCUCUCAAGUCUUUGGAGUUAUUUGAAGAAGCUGUGGUCCUUUCAUCUCUUCUGCUUUCCUUGGAGUUUGUUCUGUUUCCUUUCAUCUCCAUCUCAGCACUCUGAAAAGGUGUAAUGGCAUGAGAUCUAGAGUCUGGGUGUGUAUGAAGUAUACGGGCAUGUUCUGAGCAAUCAGAAUUAAUCAUGUGACACCUGUGUGCUACUCCCUUUAUCAUUGCAGUUAAAAAAAAAAACAACAACAACAAAACAGGACUAGGUGACUGGGCUUAUCCCCAGGGAAGGUUUAUACUACAGUCCUCCCUGCCUGGCGGAGGCACAGGAAGAAGGCUGGUAACAUUGAGUGACCAGCUGGUUGCCGGCCUGAGGAAUAUCCCCAAAAUCCGUGUUGCCAUUGUUUGGGAGUCUGCCCACCUUCUCAUCAGCUUGUCCCUCUCUUCCUUCAGAAAGUGCUCAGAAUGCUUCAGGAAGCCUUGCUCGAUUUCUUUUAGUGCUAAUAAACCCAUCAUUUGUUGUUUCUUACAUGUGCCCUUCCAUUUCUUUGGGCCCCCAAUGUACUAUAUAUUAUUUGGAGAUAAGAACAGUGUAUACUGGGUUUCCUUUAAGAACAUCAUAGAAAAUAAUGGGGAUAAGGGCUCAAAGGCAGCUUAAUGGAUGGUAGGGCAUGUCCAAAGUUUCAUGGUCAUAUAAAAUAAUAAAACUGGGAGGAAAGUACUUUGUGGUAUGUGCUUCUAAGGUAGAAAAGCUGAGAGAGCUGUGACCCACUUUGGGUUUUCAUUUCAUGAAAUUCAUAAAAAGAUAUAAAAUAGGAUGUUCUUUCCUAUCCUCUGUGUAGUUUAUCUCUUCUGAAAUGUUUAUUAUUUCUUUUUUUCUGCUGAUGUUGGGUUUAGUUUGUUCUUUUUUUUCCAGUUCAUUUAGGUGUAAAGUUAAUUUAUUUGAGAUCUUUGUUCUUUUUAAAUGUGUUUAUCACUAUAAACUUCCCUCUCAGCACCGAUUUUGCUGCUUCUCAUAUUUGGUAUGCUGUUUUCAUUUUCAUAUGUCCUCAGAUUAUUUUCACUUGUGAUUUCUUCUUUAACCCAUUGGUUAAGAGUAUGUUGUUUAAUAUCCCCACACAAUAGUCCCUCUUUACCUGCAGUUUCACUUUCUGCACUUUUAGUUAUCUAUGGCCAACCACAGUCUGAGGAUAUCAAAUGGAAAAUUCUAGAAAUAAACAAUUUAUAAAUCGUAAAUCAUGUAUCAUUUUGGGUAAUGUCCCUGCCCAGGACAUGAAGCACAUGAAUCAUCCUAUUGUCCAGUGUAUCUGGACUCUAUAAGCUACCCUCUUGUUAAUCACUUACUAGCCAUCUAACUUACCAGAUCUACUGUUGCAGUUAUCCCAGUGCUUGAGCUCAAGUAACCCUAAAAUAUGGGUUAAUAAUGCUGCCAAAGUGUAAAAGUGGUGAUGCAGAGGAGGCACCAGAGCAUAAAAUGUGGAAGGACAGAUUAACUCUGAUAUUGCAAUGCUGCUGAUUUAGAGGGAAAAUGUGGUUUAUUUAGGGUUUGGUAUUAUUUGUGAUUUCAGGCUCCUACUGGGGUCUUGGAAUGUAUCCCCAGCAAUAAGGGGUAUUUUCCAGUUUCCCUCUAGCUAUUGACUUACAGUUUCAUUAUAUUAUGGUUGGAAAAGAUACUCUAUAUGAUUUCAAUCUUCUUUAAUUCCCCUGACUUAUUUUGUGCCCUAACAUGUGGUUCUGACUAAUGAGUGUUUUUUAUACACUUGAGAAGAAU